rnacentral:rRNA from 1 species
CAGUCGCCGCGGUAAUACGGAGGGAGCUAGCGUUGUUCGGAAUUACUGGGCGUAAAGCGCGCGUAGGCGGUUACUCAAGUCAGAGGUGAAAGCCCGGGGCUCAACCCCGGAACUGCCUUUGAAACUAGGUGACUAGAAUCUUGGAGAGGUCAGUGGAAUUCCGAGUGUAGAGGUGAAAUUCGUAGAUAUUCGGAAGAACACCAGUGGCGAAGGCGACUGACUGGACAAGUAUUGACGCUGAGGUGCGAAAGCGUGGGGAGCAAACAGGAUUAGAGACCCCGGUAGUCCCUGUCUCUUAUAC